ensembl:lncRNA
GUUUGAAUUAGAUUAAAGGCUCAGCCCUAGUCCGAACGAGGUACCCUCCUGCGUCCACCUGCCGGCCCGGCUGACGCGUGUCUGUGUUGUCUCCUGCCUUUCCAGAGCUCUCUGUACGGCUCCGCCGGCCCCUGGCGCUUCUCCUCCCAGCAGGCGGACUACAGCGCGCACAGCCCUAUGCAGUCUGGAAACCAGCAGUACCACCUGAACAACAGCAGCAGCAGCACCACCCCCACCCCGGACGUCAACAUGGACAUAUACCCCGGCUUCCCGCUGGACUUCAGCGGCAUCAACCUCCCGCGGAACGGAGACUUCUCCCAGAGCGAGGCCCUCUCAACGCCAUGAUGGGUGGGACUGGCAGGCCCAUG